rnacentral:misc_RNA from 1 species
GAUGAAGAACGCAGCGAAAUGCGAUAAGUAAUGUGAAUUGCAGAAUUCAGUGAAUCAUCGAAUCUUUGAACGCACCUUGCGCCCUUUGGCCAUUCCGAAGGGCAUGCCUGUUUGAGUAUCAUGAACACCUCAACUCUUUAUGGUUUUCCAUGAUGAGCUUGGACUCUGGGGGUUUUGCUGGCUCACAGUCGGCUCCUCUAAAAUAAAUCAGCUUACCAGUGUUUGGUGGCAUCACAGGUGUGAUAACUAUCUACGCUUGUGGUUUUCCAUCAGGUAACCUUCAGUGAUGGAGGUUCGCUGGAGCUCAUAAAUGUCCCUCCUCAGCGAGGACAGCUUUUUGAACGUUUGAUCUCAAAUCAGGUAGGACUACCCGCUGAACUUAAGCAUAUCAAUAAGCGGAGGA